CUACGGGGGGCUGCAGUGGGGAAUAUUGCACAAUGGGCGCAAGCCUGAUGCAGCAACGCCGCGUGAACGAAGAAGGUCUUCGGAUCGUAAAGUUCUUUUCUUAGGGAAGAAAAAUGACGGUACCUAAGGAAUAAGCACCGGCUAAAUACGUGCCAGCAGCCGCGGUAAUACGUAUGGUGCAAGCGUUAUCCGGAAUCACUGGGCGUAAAGGGAGCGUAGGCGGUUUUGCAAGUCAGAAGGGAAAGGCUACGGCUCAACCGUGGUAAGCUUUUGAAACUGCAAGACUAGAGUGCAGGAGAGGCAAGUGGAAUUCCUAGUGUAGAGGUGAAAUUCGUAGAUAUUAGGAGGAACACCAGUGGCGAAGGCGACUUGCUGGACUGUAACUGACUCUGUGGCUCGAAAGCGUGGGGAGCCAACAGGAUUAGAUACCCGCGUAGUC
rnacentral:rRNA from 1 species